AACAAACAGACGUCCAAAACAGGGUCAGGAAAAAAGAGAUAAAAACGUAUGCAAUGAAAAUGACAAAAUGAGUUAUGAUUAAAAAAAAAAAGGGUCGUUUAUGUGGCGCGUGCACGUUUUUAUGCGCGUGAUCAAGUCUACAGCAUCGCCUCGAGAGCCAACGGACUCUCUUUGAUCAAUUUUCAUCUGAUUUUUGAGCUACAUACACCCCAAAGGCUCUUUUCAGAGCCAAUUUUACACAGCGUCUUUGCCUUUGUACAGCAAUGUUCAGCCCCACUCAUAUUCCAG